UGUGCAACUGAAAGGGUUUGGUAUUCAGAGAAGGAGCCACCUGCGCCUGGCAGUGGAGGAAGAGGACCGCUUGUGCAUUAUUUAUAUUGCGGUCUUGGAGGAACUGGGGGCAUUUUGGGCACAGAGGGAGCCCGGCUCGGUUCUCCUAGUUCCUGGGACUUGCUGCUCCAAGUGAUUCUCGGUCUUCUUUUCCGAAGAAUAUAUUUCCUUAGUUUUUUUAAUGAUGGUUGAACCACCGCAUAGUAAGUAUAUGAAAGACUUUUUUCCCCUUUUCGAAUGAGAAAGAAGAGGAGGCGAAGCAGAAAGGAGAAGCCGAAACAGCCACCGAAAAUGGGUUUUCUUUUUUUCAGCUGCCGCAGUAAUUCAAGGCGCACCUGUCCGCUCCAGAGAGAAUGGCCGUUUUCUUUCUCUUGGAGGAGCGAGCGGGGCAGGAGGGUAAUUUGGAGCCAGGCUUUGAUUGAUUCCCUUUCGUCCCGUUAUUAAUGCGCUUUAAUUAGCUAAUCUCCUAAACCAUUCUUUUCAACCGUUGAGGACAAAAGGGGGGGGGGGGGAGGUUGUGAUGAAACAUAGCACUUGAGUCAGUUUGGAAAUGCGGAGUGGAAGGAAGGAAGGAAGGAAGGAAGGAAGGAAGGAAGGAAGGAAGGAAGGAAGGAAGGAAGGAAGGAAGGAAGGAAGGAAGGAAGGAAGGGAGAGAGAAAGAAAGAAAGAAAGAAAGAAAGAAAGAAAGAAAGAAAGAAAGAAAGAAAGAAAGAAAGAAAGAAAGAAAGAGAAAAGGUGGUCCCAGUUCAUGCUAUUUGAGAAGGCGUCCUUCAAGUCCUUGGGAGGCAACUUCAAUAAAACCUGAGAACUUAGA